rnacentral:rRNA from 1 species
GUGUAGGCGGCUUUGCAAGUCAAGUGUGAAAUCCCAGGGCCCAACCCUGGAACUGCACUCGAUACUGCAUCGCUAGAGUCCCGGAGAGGAUGGCGGAAUUCCAGGUGUAGAGGUGAAAUUCGUAGAUAUCUGGAGGAACACCAGUGGCGAAGGCGGCCAUCUGGACGGUGACUGACGCUCAGACCCGAAAGCGUGGGGAGCAAACA